UUCCCCCUUUAAAACCCUUCUCAACCCUCUGAAUCCUCUCUUGUAACUAUUGCAAAAAUGUUUCUUUUUUUCUUUAUUUUUUUUUAGAUCUUAGAUCAGUAUUGUUUUUUCUUCCGGGGAGAAUGGGACCGUUACUGGCCUUUCUUUGACGACUUUGCCAUCACUGGCACUCUUAAUUCUUGUCACCAGAUUCUCUAUCAUCCUCACCGAAUCAACUAGAUAUUUGUGUUUUUGCAGAGUAGGAUGCGAAGAAUUCCCCAUCUGUGCAGAGGCACAAGAAAUGACAACAACAAUAUCAAUUGAAGAUGUUCAUUGGGAGGUGAAAUAUGGAAAGCAUUAUUGGGGCAUACGAAUAUGAUCAAAUUCCAUGAUGCUUUUGAGGAUGAAAACAAUGUCUAUGUUGUCAUGGAAUAAUUUGAAGAUGGAGAACUACUGGACAAGAUUUUAUCAAGGUAUUAAAGGAGAAGGACUGCUUCUACUCCCUUUGAUACUUCAUAUAUUUUUAGUUGCUUUUUAGCUUUGACUCCAUACUUUUUGAUGAGGAUGCUCCAAUGAGGAUUAUUGAUUUUGGUCUA